rnacentral:rRNA from 1 species
AUUGAACGCUGGCGGCAUGCUUUACACAUGCAAGUCGAACGGUAACAGGCCGCAAGGUGCUGACGAGUGGCGAACGGGUGAGUAAUGCAUCGGAACGAGCCCAGUCGUGGGGGAUAACGCAGCGAAAGCUGCGCUAAUACCGCAUACGAUCUAUGGAUGAAAGCGGGGGACCGUAAGGCCUCGCGCGAUUGGAGCGGCCGAUGUCAGAUUAGGUAGUUGGUGGGGUAAAGGCUCACCAAGCCGACGAUCUGUGGCUGGUCUGGGAGGACGACCAGCCACACUGGGACUGAGACACGGCCCAGACUCCUACGGGAGGCAGCAGUGGGGAAUUUUGGACAAUGGGGGCAACCCUGAUCCAGCUAUGCCGCGUGCAGGAAGAAGGCCUUCGGGUUGUAAACUGCUUUUGUACGGAACGAAACGGCUCUGGUUAAUACCUGGGGCUAAUGACGGUACCGUAAGAAUAAGCACCGGCUAACUACGUGCCAGCCGCCGCCGUAAAAC